GCAAAACCCAACUGAGCCCUGCUUUCUUACAGCUGGUAAGAAGGUGGAAGUCACAGAUGUUAGCACUCAGAGGAGAAGGUAGACUUCCUCGUCCUGAGAGAGGAAUAUGGAGGAGGGGAGGAGUGUGUGCUGUGCAUUGCUAACAAGGGAUUUCUCCCAGGGAAGGGUGAUGGCUUCUGGAGAGGGUUCAGGGCCUGUGUCAGUAAGCCUGGGCCCGGGGUGCCAAGCAUUUGUGGACUCUCGAAUCAAGGUUUGGGAAUGGGAACCAGGUGUGCCCGACUCUGCCAGGUGGCUGUGGUGGCCUUCCUGGGAUCAACUCAACUCAGCCAAGGCUCUUGGGUGGCACGGGAGAGCAGGUGUUAUAAAUCGUGCUUCUGUGAAGAAGGCUGUGCAGUAUCAUUUGAGGAUACAUUUGCAGUUCCUUUAGCUAGAUAACUUUAUGCCCUUGAAUCCACACAAUCUGGAUGACUUUCUUUGCAUCAUCACUGGAAAUUCCUUGUGUGAGUGAGGAACUCCUGUCAGUGGGACCGGCUAAGCAGGGGCUCAGACACCAACUCCUUGGAAGCUCCUGAUGAGAACAAAUCAUGCCACGUGGUCUCUGGUCUUUCCCAACACCCACUGAGCUUCUCUGGAGUCCUUUCUUGCUUGUGGCCACCCAGGGAUUUUGCCUGUAAAGGAUUUUAUCCAUCCAUGCUACUUUUACUUUGGUUUUGUCUAUGGAAUAAAUAUGUCUUAAG
rnacentral:lncRNA from 1 species